UACGAAGGGGGCUAGCGUUGCUCGGAAUUACUGGGCGUAAAGGGCGCGUAGGCGGACAGUUUAGUCAGGGGUGAAAGCCCAGGGCUCAACCUUGGAAUUGCCUUUGAUACUGGCUGUCUUGAGUUCGGGAGAGGUGAGUGGAAUGCCGAGUGUAGAGGUGAAAUGCGUAGAUAUCUGGAGGAACACCGGUGGCGAAGGCGGCAUCCUGGACCAACACUGACGCUGAGGAGCGAAAGCCAGGGGAGCAAACGGG
rnacentral:rRNA from 1 species